AGUGAACGCUGGCGGUAGGCCUAACACAUGCAAGUCGAACGGCAGCACAGUAAGAGCUUGCUCUUACGGGUGGCGAGUGGCGGACGGGUGAGGAAUACAUCGGAAUCUACUUUUUCGUGGGGGAUAACGUAGGGAAACUUACGCUAAUACCGCAUACGACCUACGGGUGAAAGCAGGGGAUCUUCGGACCUUGCGCGAUUGAAUGAGCCGAUGUCGGAUUAGCUAGUUGGCGGGGUAAAGGCCCACCAAGGCGACGAUCCGUAGCUGGUCUGAGAGGAUGAUCAGCCAACCUGGAAUUGAGACACGGUCCAGCCCCCUACGGGAGGCACGAGGGGGGAAUUUGGGAAAAGGGGCGAAACCCUGUACCAGCCAACCCGGGGGGGUGAAGAAGCCCUGCGGUUUUGAAAGCCUUUUUGUGGGGAAAAAAAAGCAGCAGGUUAAACCCCCGCUGCUCGGAGGGUACCAAAAAAAAAAGCACCGGCUAAUUUCGG
rnacentral:rRNA from 1 species